CUCCCAAACCAAAUCCUGAGCCUCUGAUCACAGACUUGUCUGUCUUGCUUUGCCUGCAAUCCCAUGGCUGCAACCUGAAUCCAUCUUAUCAGUGAGCAACUGAAUUUGCCUGCCUGCCUUGUGUCUUCAAUUGGGUUAGUGCUAUUAAAGUGAUCUAACAUCCUGUUGCACUGAAGGAUCUUAGGACUUUCAGGAAAUGAAGCUGAGAGGGGAAAAAAACCAAUGGAAAGAACUUCACAGUGAGGGAAGCAAAACUGGAUCUGUAAAAAACUGCAAGAAAGAAAUGGCAGAAAGCGAAGAGGAACUAAAGAGUCUCUUGAUGCGGGUGAAGGAGGAGAGUGCAAAAGUUGGCUUGAAACUCAACAUUAAGAAAACCAAAAUCAUGGCAUCCGUCCCUCUCAAUUCCUGGCAGAUAGAUGGUGAAGAAAUGGAGGUAGUGACAGAUUUUAUUUUCCUGGGCUCCAAGAUCACCACAGAUGGUGAAUGCAGCCAAGAAAUUAAAAGACGCUUGCUCCUGGGGAGGAAAGCUAUGGCAAAUCUAGACAGCGUACUAAAAAGCAGAGACAUCACCCUGCCAACAAAGGUGCGUAUAGUCAAAGCUAUGGUUUUCCCAGUUGCAGAGGUAUGGCUGUGAAGGUUGGACCAUAAGAAAGGCUGAACGCCAAAGAAUUGAGGCCUUUGAACUCUGGUGCUGGAGAAGAUUCCUGCAAGUCCCUUUGAUUCCAAGGCGAAUAAACAGGUCAGUCCUAGAGGAGAUCAACCCUGACUGCUCUUUAGAAGACCAGAACCUGAAGAUGAAACUGAAAUACUUUGGCCACCUAAUGAGAAGGAAGGACUCACUGGAGAAGAGCCUAAUGCUGGGAAAGAUUGAGGACAAAAGAAGAAGGGGACGACAGAGAACGAGGUGGCUGGAUAGAGUAACUUAAGCAGUAGGCAUGAGCUUAAAUGGAUUCCAGAGGAUGGAAGAGGACAGGAAGGCCUGGAGGAAUGUUGUCCAUGGGGUCACGAUGGGUCAGACAUGACUUCGCAACUAACAACAACAAUCUUUUUCAGUUUGAAAAGUAAUUUGAUGUUGAGUAAAUGCCUUCUGGAAUGAGGUUUUUCCUGAGAUUCAGAUGGCCCUCAUCCUGGUAUUUCAAAGAUCCCUGAAGACUCUGGCUCUUCAUCCAGGCCUUUUUUCCUUU